rnacentral:rRNA from 1 species
UACGUAGGGGCUAGCGUUAUCCGGAAUUACUGGGCGUAAAGGGUGCGUAGGUGGUUUCUUAAGUCAGAGGUGAAAGGCUACGGCUCAACCGUAGUAAGCCUUUGAAACUGGGAAACUUGAGUGCAGGAGAGGAGAGUGGAAUUCCUAGUGUAGCGGUGAAAUGCGUAGAUAUUAGGAGGAACACCAGUUGCGAAGGCGGCUCUCUGGACUGUAACUGACACUGAGGCACGAAGGCGUGGGGAGCAAACAGGAUUAGAUACCCCCGUAGUCCCUGAGCGGG